rnacentral:lncRNA from 1 species
UUUUAAAUCACUGUGUUUGCUACAUCCAGAUCUCAGGCAAGAUUUUGACCCUAGUUUUCCUGGGGACAUUUUCUAAUAGCACCUCUGAUGUAGAGACUUACCAAAUCAAGAUAACAGCUACAGCUUCUACAGCUUUUCUUCACCAUGUGAUCUUCCACACCAACAGGAAGGAUUGCCUUUUGAAACACAAACAAGACCGACAGAUUGACUGAAAGAUCUGUUUGGGGGGAGGCACAGCUGCUCAGUCUGGUGGAGUUGUGCCAGAGGCUGAGGGAACCUCUCAGUGAGCCCCUCAGCCAGCAGCUGGGUCCUGCUCUGGGAACCGAGAGCUGUUUGUCUACAGCAAGGUCUAGCGUGCCACAAGCACUGCCACUCCAACACUCACAGCCUUUCACAGCUGCCAGGACAGAGGAAUGCCAAAACAAGGCCAGUGCCUCUGGGUGCAUUUCAAGGUGGGUGGAAGAAGACGCGCUUAACCAUAAACUCCAGAGUUCCCAUGAGCAACAAGGGUAAGUUCCUAUGCAUUUGUUUUUUUCUUUUCUGCCCCAGCAUGUGCUUAGCCUAUUUCACAAGACUCAGGCAUGUGAUUAGGUUUGCUCUACACGCAGGUAAGUCUCAGAAUGCCUAUGGAUACUAAAAUAAAAUAGAUUAUUAUCAUUUCCUUCUCCUGAAU